UACGUAGGCAGCGAGCGUUGUUCGGAGUUACUGGGCGUAAAGGGUGUGUAGGCGGCUUUCUAAGUUUGGUGUGAAAUCUCCCGGCUUAACCGGGAGGGUGCGCCGAAAACUGGGAGACUAGAGUGCGGGAUGGGAGAGUAGAAUUCCUGGUGUAGCGGUGAAAUGCGUAGAUAUCAGGAGGAACACCGGUGGUGCAGACGGCUCUCUGGACCGCAACUGACGCUGAGACACGAAAGCGUGGGUAGCAAACAGG
rnacentral:rRNA from 1 species